AUCAUUUCUUGAUCUUUUGGCUAAGAUCAAAUGUAGUAUCUGUUCUUACAAGUUUAAUAUCUGAUAUGUCCUUUACCUGAGGACAAUAAGUAAAUAGACUUUUGAAACAGGGAAGUGGAAUAGGAGCUUACUCCAUAUAUUCCGCUCAUCAACCUGGUAUUGUGGUACUCCCAGGAACAGUGCACACACA